AGAGUUUGAUCCUGGCUCAGAAUGAACGCUGGCGGCAGGCCUAACACAUGCAAGUCGAACGGGUACCUUCGGGUACUAGUGGCGGACGGGUGAGUAACGCGUGGGAAUAUGCCCCUCGGUUCGGAAUAGCCUCGGGAAACUGGGAGUAAUACCGGAUACGGUCUACGGACGAAAGAUUUAUCGCCGAGGGAUUAGCCCGCGUUGGAUUAGGUAGUUGGUGGGGUAAUGGCCUACCAAGCCGACGAUCCAUAGCUGGUUUGAGAGGAUGAUCAGCCACACUGGGACUGAGACACGGCCCAGACUCCUACGGGAGGCAGCAGUGGGGAAUCUUAGACAAUGGGGGAAACCCUGAUCUAGCCAUGCCGCGUGAUCGAUGAAGGCCUUAGGGUUGUAAAGAUCUUUCAGAUGGGAAGAUAAUGACGGUACCAUCAGAAGAGCC
rnacentral:rRNA from 1 species